UUUACGGUAUACUUUUUAAAAAAUAGGAAUAAUUUUAACUUUUUACACGUAAUCGGGGUGAGUUCGGGAUGGAGGGGACUAAACCCGUACCCGCCCCGAUUAUUAAUCGGGGUUUAAUUUUUCUCCCACCCUUGCUCUGCCCCGCCCCGCCUCCGUUUAUUCCUCCCCCAAACCCACCCUAAACCGGGCAGGCCGGCCCUGGUUAAUCUGGGGAAUUGCCAUCUCUACACAAGAAUCCACGAUUCAUCCCAAUUUCUAGAGCGAGAAAGAGAGUUUAAGAGACAGAGAGAGAUGAACCUGUUGGGCGGCUUCGGAGGCGAGGAGGAAGUCAUGGUUGAUGGAGAGAGAGCGCUUCUUGAUGGUGGAUCGGAGGUUGCGGCGGGCAUGGAGGUUGUUAUCGGCGUGGAAGUCGGAUAGUGUGCUCAACGACGCCACCAGAUCCGGCAUGUCUGUACGCGUUUACAACACCUUAUUCAGCUUCCUUGAAAUCCUAGCGCUAGUGUACUCGUAGUCCUCAUUUUCGUAUAUAUAUAAGUGCACUGAACUCAGCUGAUCUCUAGAUUUCUUCUUCUUCGAUCUGAUUAUGAUCUCUCUCUGAGUGUCUCUCUUAAAAUGUCCUUCGAUCAGAUUUUGAUCCCUCUCUCUCUCCGUCUACUCACUCUCUCUAGCGGCUCGUUAACCGUUGUUUCUGGCAAUGUUUUGAAAAUCGAACCGUUAAGCUAAUGAAUAAGAUACCGUGUUAUGGGUUACUGGUUCAAUUGGCGGUCAAUGUUUUUAACUUUUGAUGCCAUAAUUAUUUCACUAAUUUAUUUAUUAAUAGUAAUAAAAUAUUUUUUACUUUUUUACACUAAUUUUUAUACUUAAAAUCUAAAAUUUUUAUUAAAACAAUGAACCCAACGGUCUAAUGACCGGUUCAAUCGACUGGGUAGCGAUUCUUACUAAGUUUGACUGAAUUUUGACCAAAACAAGCUUUAAAUAAAAACUUGACCAUUUCUUCGACUGAUCAUCGAUUCAAUAUUCAAUUUGGGUUUUAAAACAUUAGUUUCUGGUACUAGACUGCAAAAAGAAUUACUGGACUAGGCCAAUAGAACUAUAGGAGGCGUAUGAACAUGGCCCAUGUGAGAGGCCCAAUCCAUUUUUGGGACUAAUGAGGGCCCAUACUUUCACAUCCUUUCCAGCCCAUACUUCCUCACAACACACAUAAAAAAAUUAUUUCUGGCUGAUUCGGGCUGGGCCAGCCAGCCUGUUCAGGUCGAGACCAGCCAAUCCAUCGGUUGAGUGAUCCCUCGCUAGGUCACAUAAAGCGCGAGCAACCUUGAGAGCGAAAGCAUCUACGUUAUAAAAUUUUUUAAUCAAAAUAUAGUCAUAUAUUUUGAGAGCGGGAGCGGAGUCUCGAUAGAAAGAUUAUGUGACCUAAAUCCCACGAGACAAGCUGGGUAACGCGUUUGGCAUUGAUGAGAAAUAGACACAAUAGAGGGAGAAGAAAAACGCGUAAGGGAGACGCUGCAUAUGGAUGGAUCAAUUUCGUCCUAUGGCAUUGAUGAGAAAUAGACAAAAGGGAGAAGAAAAACGUGUGAAAGAGAGUGUUGCAUACGCAGGGAGUUAAUUUCAUCAUUUCGUUUGAAGGAUUCCAUGGCAUUGAUAGUAAAAGUUUUGAGUACCAGUGUAGAACUAGCCGACCAGUCUGCAGUUUAUGAAGCUAGUUUGUUGUAACACAACUGAGUGAUCAUUAUUUGCUUCUUUCUUGUCUUUCUAUUUGUUUAUGUUUUGGUAUAGAACCAAUGCGUGAACUAGAAAACAUCACACUGUUAGAUGAUAUAGAUUAUAUUUAUGUUUCUUUUAUUUUGUUAUUAGAAGUAAGGGUAGAAUAUAAUUGAUUACCUUUGUUAGUAGGUUAUUUAAACUCUUUUAUCUUUCUUGGAUGAUUAAUUCUAAAUUCUAUGAAACCCUAGCCUCCUUUUUCUCUAUGUUCUUGGUAUUCGCACAUGGUAUCAGAGCAUUGAUCCUGAUGGGCUUCGCAUCCUAUAUUGCAACGGAAAGGAAGUUUUAAUCUCAUUCACAGCUUUUGCGGAUCCAAAUUUUUUUUCGGGUAACAUUGUUUUUUUUUUAGAUCGUAGUUAUCAGUUACAGUUUUUUAUUCAUCUCUCUGUUUUUUUUUUCUCCUACUCUGCUUAGUUGAUUGGGAUUCCCUAUUAUUCUUAUUUUUUUUACGCAAUGGCUGUUUGAACGGGAGAUUUCACUUCAGGCUACAGCACGAGAUUGGAUGGAAAGAAUUAUCGUAUUGGAGUUAUGUUAUGAAGAAUUUUUGAAAGGAAAAAAAUGUGGGGGUAUGUUGUGGGCACCAUGGUCAACCUACAGAUCUCGAUUAUGAAAAAUUUGCAAAGAAGUUAGAAGUUUGGAAUGUCAAUAAUUCAAAAUCAUCACUUGGAUCAACAACUCUGUUGAGCACUCCAUCGGCACACCAUUGGCAAAGUAUGAAACAGCAAAAAAAUUUGGGAUCACUUGAAGAGGCUGUAUACACAUCUAAUUUGCAAAGCGUACCAAUUGAAUCUGAUAUUCGAGCUCUUGUUCAGAAAACUAUGGGUAUUCAAGAAUUUUAUUCUGCAAUGUCUGAUCUUUGGGACCAAUUGCACUAACAGAAUCUGCUGAAUUAACAGGGUUUGCACCAUACAUGCUCGGAGAGAGGAACAACGACUUGUGCAGUUUCUUUGCUCUUCGUGAUGAUUUUGAGGGUCUUCGUGGUUCAAUUUUGGCAUCGGCAACCACUUCCUUCGGUAAGAUUCAGUGGUCAGUGAGCUUUUAGCAGAGGCGAUUCGGCUUAAGUUCAGUCAUCCAACAAGGGCAUGCUUCCAGCACCGAAUUCAUCUGUUUUUGUAGUACCUAAUCGACCACCUUCUAGUUCUCCAUCAAGGCCAAAGGUUGGAUUUGAUGAUGCAGUUUUUGUAAGCGAAGGGUUCACUGGAGAUCCAAUGUCCCAUGUUACUUAAUGCGAGCUCAAAAAAAAAAAAAAAAAUUCCGUCUCAAUAAACAAAGGAGUUCGGGCAAACCAGUCCCAACAACAUGCAUACAGGCCUCCCCAGUCUAAUAAUGCAGCAACGUCCCCACCAUCAACCUUAUCUGGUUUUUGGAUCUCCACCGUCUUCCAAUCCACAUGGCGCUCUUGCUGAGCAGUUCCAGUAGUUCUUACACACUCACCAGCUGCUAUGUCUGCCUCAGCCUCUUUUCGGUUUGUCUUCUCCUAGUUUUUCCUCAGGUAUGUUUUCGUCCUUUGUGGGUUUUAGACUCUGCGCCUCUCCUCCAUGUCACCAGACUCGUCUGUUUUUACUUCAUUGUCCCUCUUGCAUCACCUGUAUCUGUCAUGACUGCUGAUGGAACCCCUAUGCCAUUAGGCGGGUGUAGGGUCUGUAAUUGCAACUAAUAGCUCUCUUUCUAACGUGUAUCAUAUUCCUAGUCUUUCCUUAAAUCUUGUUUCGUUAGUCCAAUUGUGUAACCUUGUUUUUGGUCUCUUUUUCUCACUUCUGUCAGGGUGCAGGACUCGCAACCCCAGAAGCUGAUUGUAACGGCCCUAGGCAGGGGAUUCUAUAUCUUGGACCAACUGAGUUUACCUGCAGUUGCUGCUACUGGUGUCGAUUUGUCAUCUUUUCGUUUGGAGUCAUUCUUCUUCUAGUUUUUAUUUAUGGCAUUCUGUCUAGGUCAUGUCUCUCUUCUCGUUUAAAGUAUUUAGCAUCUACCGGAGCCUUAGGUAAUUUGUCAGCACAUGAUAUUUCACUUGCACUGGGUGUAAACUGCAAAAUUUUUUUGCCCUACCUUUUAAUAGAAGUUCUCUUAUGUCUCUUGCACCUUUGAUUAGUUCAUUCUGCGUGUGGGACUUUGCCUAUUGCUACCAAGGCGGAUCUCAUUAGUAUGUUUCUUUUAUUGAUGAUUACACUCGUUAUUGUUGGGUUAUCUUAUGCAAAUAAUUCGAUUUUGGGUAUUUUAAUAAAUCUUUUCGUGCUCGCGUGAAAACACAACAUUCGGCUAUUAUCAAAUGUUUUUGGUGUGAUUUGGGUGGUGCAUAUACUUCCAAUUAAUUUUCGAGUUGCUUGCUUUAGAUGGAACUAUUCAUCAAUCCUCUUGGUAGCUGAUACUCAGAGCAAAAUGGUGUGGCUGAAAGGAAACUAGGCAUAAUUGUUGAAACUGUCGGUCCUCCUCUACGUCUGCUUUGGUUCCUAUUACUUUUUGGGCGAACAGUUUCUCACUGCGUGCUCGGGUCAUUAAUAUGAUCCCAUCAUCUCAUAUUCAGGCAUGUCCCUCCUUUUGAAAAAUUGUAUGGUCGUCCCUCAAAUUAUUCUUUUUAAGAGUUUUUUGGUUUGCUGUUUUUGUGCUUCGUCUCAUGUUAACGUAGUAAGUUGUCUUCUCGUUCUGCCUUUGUGUUGUUCUUUGAUAUGGUGGAGGGUCAAAAGGAUAUCGUUGUUUUGAUCCUGUUACUCUAAAUUAUAUGUGUCCCGUCAUGUUUGUGUCCUUGACAUAUACCUUUCUUCUCUCUUCCCUGAUAGUAUUCAUAACUUGACUAAAUCUGAUCUCAUUCGCAUUGACCCUUUCUGAGAACAGAUAAGUGUUCACCCCAUCUCCAUCCCCUACAUACAUUGGUAUUUCCGCAUCUGAUUCUCCGAUCACAUCCCCCGCUGUAACCUACACCAGCAACAUCGGAUUAUGAAUCCUCCUCAGCCUUUGCCUACCCAGGAACUUCUGAGAUUGUGGUCCUCUUCCUCGGCUAUCUAAGCGCAUUCGUAGUCUACUAAGUUGCCAGAUUGUUUCUAUUCUUGUUAUUCUAGUUCUUUUGCUUCUUUCUUAGUCCACUAUUCACAAUCUUUCUGAGCCUCUAUCAUUAAAUAGCUGUUCUUGACCCUCUUUGGCAAGCAGGCUAUGACUGAGGAACUUUCUACUUUGCAUAACACGGUACUUGGGAUUUGUACCUACCAUCUGGUAAAGAGUAAAAUUGGUUCUCGGUGGGUCACAAA
rnacentral:lncRNA from 1 species